rnacentral:lncRNA from 12 species
GUUGGGACUGCCCAAAGUGUUUGCUGUCAUGGUCACCUUGGGAGCUGAGAGCUCAGUGCUCAAAGGUGUUUAAUAUGACAGUGCUUUUUGUGAUGCGAGCUGCUGACUUCUGGGACUACCAAACAGAUGGUGACUACGUGAGAACACAUCUAGUGCUGUCUUCACGCAGAGGUCUGCAGAAAUGUGUGGAUGAG